UACGGAGGGUACAAACGUUGCUCGGAAUCAUUGGGCGUAAAGCGCACGUAGGCGGCCUGAUAAGUCGGGUGUGAAAGCCCUGGGCUCAACCCAGGAAGUGCACUCGAAACUGUCAGGCUUGAAUAUGGAAGAGGGUCGCGGAAUUCCCGGUGUAGAGGUGAAAUUCGUAGAUAUCGGGAGGAACACCAGUGGCGAAGGCGGCGACCUGGGCCAAUAUUGACGCUGAGGUGCGAAAGCGUGGGGAGCAAACAGG
rnacentral:rRNA from 1 species